AUUGAACGCUGGCGGCAUGCUUUACACAUGCAAGUCGAACGGCAGCGCGGGCUUCGGCCUGGCGGCGAGUGGCGAACGGGUGAGUAAUGCAUCGGAACGUGCCCAGUAGUGGGGGAUAGCCCGGCGAAAGCCGGAUUAAUACCGCAUACGACCUGAAGGUGAAAGCGGGGGACCGAAAGGCCUCGCGCUAUUGGAGCGGCCGAUGUCGGAUUAGCUAGUUGGUGGGGUAAAGGCUUACCAAGGCGACGAUCCGUAGCUGGUCUGAGAAGACGACCAGCCACACUGGGACUGAGACACGGCCCAGACUCCUACGGGAGGCAGCAGUGGGGAAUUUUGGACAAUGGGGGCAACCCUGAUCCAGCCAUGCCGCGUGCGGGAAGAAGGCCUUCGGGUUGUAAACCGCUUUUGUUCGGGAAGAAAUCCUCUGGGCUAAUACCCCGGGGGGAUGACGGUACCGGAAGAAUAAGCACCGGCUAACUACGUG
rnacentral:rRNA from 1 species